rnacentral:lncRNA from 1 species
CCAUAUUAUAAAGUAUAAACAGAGGUCAAAAAGGCAUUCAGCCUUAUUGAACAGUUCCUCCAUCACAGUCAUUUUUUAAGUUAAAUACAAAUUGAGAAGUAGUUUAAAUAUAUCAAAUAAGUAGUUUAAGUCGUGGAAAUGGCAAUGUAUCAUUAUUGAUGAUCCAAGACCAUACAUAUUGAUUAAUUAAAAGAAAUGCUAUUUAUUUAAUAAAUAGACAGGUAGAUUGAAAAAAUUAUGACUAUGCUUAACAGAAAGCCCACAUAAGUUUGUAUAAGCUCACCAGUAUACAGUCUCCCUCCAUAUCUUAUUUAGGCACAACAUUUCAUUUUCCAAACUUUUUGCUAUGAACUUCACAUAAUUGUCAAGUGAUGCCAUCUGAAGGUUUUAAAGUCCACCAAUCCAUUCUUAAGAUACAUCACAGAUCCUUGUCCUGAAAAGUGAAACCCGUUGAGGUUGAGAAGAGCUUUCCUCAAAGCGGCAACUUAAUCACUUCAUAUUACCAGCCUCAUUUCUCAAUAGAGUCCUGUAAAUGUCUGGUGUCCUUCUAGUUUAAAAUUAUACAGCAUAUACAAAGCAUGUAGAUUUUCUGUAUUUCAUUAGAAAAGAGUAUUGUAAAUUUUAACUUAUAUGGAACCGCUAUAUAAAACCCAAGAAAAUAUAUGAUUUAACAUUAUUUUCAUACCUUUAUCGAGAUGUAAUUUAUGUCAGUAAACCUUUGUAAGUUUUUUAUGAAAUAAUGGACACAAUCUGGAAACUGAAGGUCAUUACAAUGCAAAUAAGCUUAUACAAGUCAAAAACUGUGUGAAAGGAAACUUAGCCAGGGAAAAAGGAAGAACUACUAUUUGCUAAAUUACCUAACAAAAGAUCAAAUGUAAUUGCGACAGAAACAAAAUCUUAAGCCAAAGCAAUGAUACAUUCAGACUUAGUCAUGUGCGAAAUACUUAGGCAAGAAGAUAAUCCAACCUAUUAACAAAAUGACAAAUUGAACAUAACACAUUCAAACUUUAAGAAGAAUAUUGAAUAAGCGGAAGAUUCAUUUAAACAUCACCAAGAAACAAUCGAAGUUAAUGAGGCUUUUAAGUUAAUAAUACUGAUAUAGUAAGAAUUUUGUAUAGUCAAAUGAAAAUGAGAAGUAACAUGAUCUAUCCAAUAUUAAUAUCUGAGGUUACAAUGAAAAUCUAACGUACUCUAAACUCCUUAUCAGUAAACUAUAAUCAAUAUUUAUAGACAUAAAUAUGUCCAAUGGUCAUCAGUCAUCACAAUUAAAUUAAAACUCUUGCCUAACCCUUAAAAAUGACAAAUUGCACUUAAUUCUGCAUAUGUCGCCUCCUAUAUGUGUUUUUUUGUGAGCAUCUUCUUCUCUGGCUUUUGUGCUUUACUUUCUCUCUUAUUUCUAGCACUAUUUAUGUGAUAUUGAUUUUGUAUUUUCACUACCUUCAUUCCUCUCUUCAUCGCUGCUACAACUGUUGGUAAGUCUUAAUCUUCGUUUGUUUUUCCUUCAUAUUUUUUCCAAUUUGGUAUUUACAUGAAUAUGGAUAACAAGGUAGUUAGUUUUCUUCCUCCUUAAUUUUAUUCAACCAUAAAUAAAUUAUAUACACAUAUAUAUGAUCAAUCUUUAUCAAGUUGAGCUAAAAGGCAUGAAAAAAGUGCUACUGAUUAGAGAUAAAUAAUGACCAAUUUAUAGUAUAGCAAUUAAGCAAUCAUUUAUGCCACAUAAAAUUGUGUCGUGAUUAGAUAGAAGUUUUAGAUGUUUCUUAUUGCAAAUUCUCUCACAAAUUUUAAGUUAGUUCAAGUGCGUGUUCUUGAAACAAAUUGCUGUAAUCAAAAUAAGGAAAGAACUUUGGUAGAGCAGAAUAGAUUUAGGCAGUAUCAUAAGUUUUUUAUUUUUUUUAAUAUAAUUUACGCCAUUAGGAGGCGUAGUCCUUAUAUUGCUAACCAAAAUUACAGCAUAACAGAGGAGGGCAUCAACCUAGCAUAACAGAGGAGGGCAUUAACCAAAAGUUCAGUAUCAUAAGGUUUUAUAGGAAAAUAUGUUAAUUUUGUUUGGUUCUUGGCAAUUUUGGAGUAGUAUUAAUUUUAUAACCUCCCAUUAACGCUCUCUGACCUUGAGUUUUAUUUUUUCUUUAGCCUUCUAAGUUACGUGUUUCGGUGUCAACGUCAAGACGAUCUUAUUUUGAAAAUCAGUUCGUAAUGUUUUGAGUUUUAACACCAAUAUUUGAGGCUAUAAUGACAGUCUAAUAUAGUUUAAGCUCCAUAUCAGUAAACUACAAUCAACAUUUAUAGACAUCGUUGACGAACACUUUUACCAUUAAAAGUAUCAGUAAAGCAAAAUUCUUGUACUCCAUAUCGUACACACCCUCAGUUAUCAAUUUUGAAAAAGUUAUUUAUAUUAGAAUCUUUACACCCUUACGCAAAAAGCAAAUAAGUUAAGAAUCUCCGGAGCGUACCUCAAAUACGAAUGGAGAAAGGCCAAACUGAAAUUUUUCACGGCCUUUUGUUGGUUUAAACUACCAUCUAUCAACCUAAAGAGAAAAAUAAAACAUGUGCUCAACUCAAUUGUUAGAACUUAAAGGGUCUAACAUUUAAAAGGCUGAAAAUAUAUGAAAAUAAGGCAUAGUUGGUAAAGAUUAACUUUAAAAGGAUUACAUACCAGCAAAUGUUGAGUAAAUUUGCAGCAUUUUAUGAAUCCAUGGGCAAGGUCAACCUAUAGGGCAUAUUUUCGAAUACUUCAUGGCGUCAUAAGCAGUUGUUAUGCUGGAAAAUGAGUGAGUCAAGACAUAGCGGAAUUAAAAAUCAAAGCGAAAGUAACUGGUAAACGCAAAUUGGAAAUGACCGUAAUGAAGGAUUACAUACCGGCAAGUGUUGAGUAAAUUUGCAGUAUUUCCUGAAUCGGUGGGCAAGGUAUUGGGCAUAUUUUCGAACACUUCAUGGGCGUCAAAAUAAGCAGUUGUUAUGGUGACAAAGGAGUGAAUCAAAGUCAGAGGGGAAUUAAAAAUUAAAGUGAAAGUAACUGGAAAACGCAAAUUGAAACUGACCAUGAGGAAAGAGUUUAGAGAUUAGUGGAGGAACUAAAGUAAAUCAACAAACGUGAAGCAAAAGCAGUGUAGAAUAAAAAAGAGGGAGGAGAAAGAGUAUAGAAAAUUUUAACAAAGGCAAACGAAAAGAACAAUAGGAAAAUAGAAAGAUAAAGGAGGAUGAAUACUGAGAUAGAGGGAGGAAAGGAAACAUAGAGAGUAAAGCAUCUGUCGGAAAAGAAACAGUUAUUUUUGAAGCGUUGUAUAUUUUUGGUUUAGGGUGACUUUUGGUUUUUGAUAGUGAAAAAUUAGAGAAAAUAGCAAAAAAUCAUAGAAAAAGAUAAUUG